UAGGGAAUCUUCCGCAAUGGGCGAAAGCCUGACGGGGCAACGCCGCGUGAGUGAUGAAGGUCUUCGGAUCGUAAAACUCUGUUAUUAGGGAAGAACAAAUGUGUAAGUAACUAUGCACGUCUUGACGGUACCUAAUCAGAAAGCCACGGCUAACUACGUGCCAGCAGCCGCGGUAAUACGUAGGUGGCAAGCGUUAUCCGGAAUUAUUGGGCGUAAAGCGCGCGUAGGCGGUUUUUUAAGUCUGAUGUGAAAGCCCACGGCUCAACCGUGGAGGGUCAUUGGAAACGGGAAAAGUUGAGUGCAGAAGAGGAAAGUGGAAUUCCAUGUGGAGCGGUGAAAUGCGCAGAGAUAUGGAGGAACACCAGUGGCGAAGGCGACUUUCUGGUCUGUAACUGACGCUGAUGGGCGAAAGCGUGGGGAUCAAACAGG
rnacentral:rRNA from 1 species